rnacentral:misc_RNA from 1 species
UUCUUGACUUGCUCUUCAUGGCGGGCUCYUCGCGCUUUGGCGCGACCAACCGACAUGGGGCUGUCUCUUCACUCUCCCUCCCGUCAGCAAAAAUUUGUCGGGUCGGGAUGCUUGUCAUCGGUUGCCUGUGCGGUUCUACCCUUUUGCGGGUAGCGAAGUCGUCCCUCGAUGGAUAUUUGCUUGCCCUGCUGACAUUGUUUUGUCGCUCGGGCGGCCGAAAUGUCGGUGAAAUCCUCGUGUUGCUGUGCGGGCGAAUGCCUCGCUGCUUUCACUUGAAUUUUUGCCGGCUCUCAUGGAUGCCGUGCCCCGUUGUUAGCUCUGCGGGCCUCUGUCCCGCAGACUCCGGGAGGUCCCUUGCACGGAUCAUUGCUCUUCGGGCGCUCUGAAGGCGUCGUGUUGGCGAUGCUGACGUGCAUGCGGAAUGCCUUCCCGAUCGUACGAGGAGCGAUUGUCGGUUCGCGUCGUGAAGAGCGCCUCCCGUUCGGGUCGGUGCUGGAAAUGACGCGCCGGCUAUCGUUUAAGACGUGC